rnacentral:rRNA from 1 species
CAACGACUCUCGGCAACGGAUAUCUCGGCUCACGCAUCGAUGAAGAACGUAGCAAAAUGCGAUACUUGGUGUGAAUUGCAGAAUCCCGUGAACCAUCGAGUUUUUGAACGCAAGUUGCGCCCGAAGCCAUUCGGCCGAGGGCACGUCUGCCUGGGCGUCACGCA